UCACCAGUCAGAAAGGAUUGGUCACAGCCUCUUCUGAAGAAGGUCAGCAAACAACUCAACCACCCAAAGGAAGUGAAGACCUCCUCAGGGAAGUGUAUUUCUGUGAGGAAAAAGACAGCCACCAUUUAAAGAGGAAUUUACUUUCUGCAAUCGUGUCAAAGGCUCAGACUUAAAAAUAAGUUUUGCACAAGCGUGCUUUCUAUCUCUGAAUUAUAAGUAUGUGAAAAUAAGAGAAAAUACUGAAGAAGGAAAAGCACUCUCUGAGCAACUAUCAUCUGCAGGCAUUCUGAGCAUCAAUGUACAAAAAGUGAGAUGGAGAGUUAAACAGCACUGUGCUUGAGAAUUGUAUUCUAGAGCUGCAAAAAAUUUCCUCU